AUCCAGCUGACGAGUCUCAAAUAGGACGAAACGCGCCUUCCUGAU
rnacentral:hammerhead_ribozyme from 1 species